UUUCUUUCUCUCUCUCUCUUCACUAUUCUUUCUGGGUAAAAAUCAACGAGAAGCACCAAAUUUCUCCAUUGUUAUUCUUGCAACCUCUUUGGAUUCCAAAAUGUUGAGCAACCGUCAUCAAUAAAGGAUUGUCAGCAGCAGCAUUAUAUCCGGCAGAGGUAUAACCGCCGGUUUUCAUACAGAUCCGGUGGCUGUCACUAGAUUGAUGAGGUUUUGGUUGGGAUUCGCGACUGGGUGCUCAAUUUCAGGAAAACUAGGGUUUGGUAAGUGGAGAUUCCAACGAUCUAGGGCAUAAGUAAGGUUUCUCCGGUCGACUUGAACUUCCAGCAAACAAACCUAGGGUUCUUCGGUCGACUUGAACUUCCAGCAAUCAAACCUAGGGUUCCGGCGAAAGACCUGAUUUUCUGGUCUGUGAACGGCGGCAUCUAAAACCAUAAGGUGUUUGGAAUGGAAGUUGGAACACAAUGGAUUUUGUGGGAAUUUAGUUAAAUAGGAAACCAGUGAGAUUGCUGUCACAACAUAAACAGGAACAACCUGAUACACAAUGGGACCUUUAUUGAAUUUCGAAGUGGGAUGAUUAACGUUUCACCAAUCGGGCGAAACUGCAGCCAAGAAGAAAGAGAUGAAUUUGAGAGAUAUGAUAAGGUAGUUCUUUAUAAACCCUAAAGAGUGGGGGAUUUAGAGUUUGCAUUUGAACCUCCAAGUGAUGAGGAAAUCGAUUAUGACGAUGUUAGCAGCGGUGGAGAAGACGACGAAGAAGAAAACAACGGUGUAGAAGAAAAAAUAACUAAAAAGAAGACACAGUCUCCGUGGGACUUUUCUUCUUACACUGAAUCAAUUGCAGAGGAACACGCUCGCAGAAGCACUAUAUUGAUGAAAAAGUUUCGAAGCUUAUCCAACAGCGUGGUCAUGCGAAAAUAAUACCAGAAAAAGAUGAGGUUGAUGAAGAUGGCUCUUCUGAUUCUGAGCCAGACCGUCAGGUGAAUUGAGUAACAGAGUGAGAGGAUGAAAACGAAUGAAAACGAAUGAUGACGUCUGACAGUAAUAAUAUUAAGUAUUAGCAUAAAUUAAGUUCAUGUGUGGAAUCAUCCUCGAUGCCAAAUGUAUUGUCAGUUUCAACACUUAAUGUAGCUCCACUUUCGUUUUCAAUGAAUCAUCGAGUCGGGGGUGAUGGCGAACAUUUAUAUGCUUUUUAAACAUUGGUUUUUUUGAACAUUUCAGUUUGUUUGACGUGGUUGUUUGAUCUUUAUAUGCUUUUUUUUAAUAUACAUAUGAAUAAAUCUAUCCUUUUUAUUUUUU
rnacentral:lncRNA from 1 species